rnacentral:rRNA from 1 species
UACGAAGGGGGCUAGCGUUGCUCGGAAUUACUGGGCGUAAAGCGCACGUAGGCGGCUCUUUAAGUCGGGGGUGAAAUCCUGGAGCUCAACUCCAGAACUGCCUUCGAUACUGGAGAGCUUGAGUUCGGGAGAGGUGAGUGGAACUGCGAGUGUAGAGGUGAAAUUCGUAGAUAUUCGCAAGAACACCAGUGGCGAAGGCGGCUCACUGGCCCGAUACUGACCGCUGAGGUGCGAAAGCGUGGGGAGCAAACAGGAUUGAG